UCAAGACAUGGCAGAUAUGAUAAUUAAUCAUAUUGAUCAAUUAGCAGCAGAUAAGAUAAUUUAUGAAAGCAUUCAAAAAGUAGCAAAUUAGAUAACUUAUGAAAGAGAGCAAGCAGUAGCUGAAUUAGAUGAUUUAAAGAAAACAGUAUUAAAAAAUUUGCAGAUUAGAUCAUUUAUUGAAGUAAUCCAGGUAUAACAGAUUAGAUUAAUUUAUGAAAGUGAUCAGGAAGUAGCAGAUUUAUGAAAGCGAUCAAGAAGUAGCAGAUUAGAUAAUUUAUUAAAUCAAUCAAUAACCAGAAGAUAUUUAAUAACAUUUCUAAAAACCCACUGACCCUGCAUUCAGAUCAUUAUUAUUGAGAAACAUGAAAUUUAAAAAGAAGAGUGGACUUUUUUUUAUUUUUUUUUGGCUUUUUUUGCUGUCAAAACUUUUAAAACUGCUAUUACUAUAAAUGAUUUAAUAACAUGCGGUUAUAUUAAUAAGGGUAUCUGAAACCAUUUCACAAGCAUUUUCCAAUGCGGAUAUACAAGUUUGCCCUUCAUUGUAUGAAGUAUGUCUGUAAGGCUAUGGAUUUGUUUUAUUUCUAGCCAGAACAAUUGACCUACGGUACACUCCAUCAUUCUCUGGAAUAAGCACCAUCUUCCAUAUUUAACUGCACUGUGUAUUUACACAACUAUGAUUGAACCACAUAUGGGACUUUUAGCUAUCGAAUAUCUGGUAUGGUUCAGGUGGUAAAUAAAUUGAUAUAAUAGAUAAGAGAUAUUGAGCCACUUGAUAAUGUUUCCAUGUGUAUAACCUUUUUUUAUUUACCUUUUUGCCUCCAGAAUAAGAAAAAGCCUUGACUGAUAUUCUCACACUGUUACUCCGCAAUUACUAAUGUGGUAGUCUGGCUUUGGCCCAGUGUUCUUCCACAGAAAUUACUGAAUUAAAAGUGCAAGCAGGGGUUGUGUUUCGUACAUUUAUAAGGAUUCAGAACGAGGUGUGGUUUUUGCUUAUAAGGUGGUGGAUCAGCAUGGUACACAUUCCCUAUUGACAAAGACACAUAUGACGAAACGCGUCUGGAGGAGGAUACGUGCUGACGUCACCACGCUGUCUCGCUAGGAGGAUGGGUUUUGUUUGUAGCCGGCUGGUUCUGCUGUUUUUAAUGCGUGAUUUUAACUUUCUAAAUGUAAGUGCAAUAUAGUUUUUAUACAAUAAAUAACAAGUGAAGCAA